rnacentral:misc_RNA from 1 species
GAUGAAGAACGUAGCAAAAUGCGAUACUUGGUGUGAAUUGCAGAAUCCCGUGAACCAUCGAGUUUUUGAACGCAAGUUGCGCCCGAAGCCUUUUGGCCGAGGGCACGUCUGCCUGGGCGUCACGCAUCGCGUCGCCCCCCACAAUUCUUCGUAAAGGGAACAUGUGUUUUGGGGGCGGAUAUUGGUCUCCCGUGCUCAUGGCGUGGUUGGCCGAAAUAGGAGUCCUUUCGAUGGACGCACGAACUAGUGGUGGUCGUAAAAACCCUCGUCUUUUGUUUUGUGCUGUUGCUCGCAAGGUAAACUCUUUAAAAACCCCAAUGUGUCGUCUCUUGACGACGCUUCGACCGCGACCCCAGGUCAGGCGGGACUACCCGCUGAGUUUAAGCAUAUCAAUAAGCGGAGGA